UUUUAGCUCUCUAUGCUCGUCUCGAUCUCUUCCUCUCACUAUUCUCUCUCGAUCUCUCUGAUUCUCCUCAACCCCGUCGAUCUCUCUGUCAAACCCAAUCUCUCUCACUCGUUUCUCUACCCUCUACCCGUUCUUCAUCUCUCUCGAACUUCUACUGUGUGUGAGUUGGAUGUUGCUUUGCUAAAAAUGGUGAGAUGAAGCUAUCUAUGGCAUGAUAUUUGUGCGUGGAUUGAGAGUAAAAAAUGAAAAAUAAUUGAAUCUGUUACUAUGUAUUUCUCAAUGGGAGCUCUAAGUGGGUGGAAAGCUAUCUUUCAAUGGAUAAAAAUGCUGAUCCCUCCCCUCUGUUUCCUAUGAACCCCUUUUAUGUGAAGAUGAUGUUUAUGGUGUGGACCCCCGCAAUGGAAAAGAAAAUAUGGCGUGAGGUGUCUUUUUGUGUGAUGGUAUGUGGGCCCCUGAAAUUGUUGCUGUGUAUUCAAUUGUUAGAUGGAAUUCAAGAUGAAAAUGUUGCUAAGUUCUAUAUCCACAUGGGUCCCUUUUUUUGUUCUGUUAUGGGAAAACAAAGGAAAAAAACAUGAAGGGGAGGGGGGCUGAGGUGGGGUAGGUUGGUUAAGAUAAGGUUGUUAAUUUGUUAGGGAGUUUGUUAUUUUUGUAUUUUUAUGGGGUAUGAUCACAUGGAUGAGGACAUACUGUAAGGUGAGCUAAAAACGGAUAAAAUCAACGUUGGAAUGGAUAAAAUUAGGUCUCUACAAUGACCCAAAUACCCCUCUUGGACGCGGAGCUUGACUGCAGGAAAUUACACUGGCAGGAAUAGGCAGGGCGCCGCUUCGCUUAUCAUCCUAGCCUACUGCCUCUCACGAAAAUGGAUGUAAAUUUUCGCUCAGGUAUCGAAUUUUGGAGAAAUUGGUAUCGUUGGAAAGCUAAUUUGAAGAUCUUUCAUUUUAUAUAUAGUAGGACACCCAGUUUUUCAUAUACAAGGAGUUAUGGUCGAUUGAAGUCGACCCAAAUUUUGACGCUCACUAAAACUCGAACAAUAGGAAAACUUUCAACUUGACCUUGAGUUAGGGGACCUCUAUGAUCUCAAUUCAUGCUUAAAUAGGUUCCCACACUACAUAAUUGAUUAACAUACCAAAUUUGCAUAGGAUUUAAGGGUUUUGGAUCAUCUACGCAUAGAAACGACGGUUUUUAUUCUAGCCCGAAAUGUGGCGUGUUACAUAUGCUUUUCAGUCUCAGAUUGUUGCACUUCUUUAUGCGUCAAGCCAAAAAGGACAAGAAAAAGAGGACAUCAAAUAAGAGAAAUUGAAGAAGAAGAAAGUGAAGGGAGUUUAUCAUAUAACAACAAAAAUGAGAGGAGAAAAAAAUCAAUAAGGGAUCAAAGAAAAGAGUAUUUAAGAAGGUCUUUGAAGCCAAAGAGACAUAAGAUGCAUCGAUGCCACAGAAGAUGAAAUGAUUUAAUUUCUGCUAACUUAUGUAUUCUAAUUAAACCUUGUAGAUUUUUGAGUGAAAUACUUGCAUUGGGCACAACUUGCUCAAUUUAGGUUUAUAAGUGAAACAAUUUACUAUGCCAUCUCAUAAGGGGAUCUAAGUACAUGUGAACUUUAUGUGUUUGACAAAGUAUUACAACACAAUAAAUACUUUAUCAAUUUAAAUUAGGUAGGUUAGUUAUUAAGUAUUAUUAGUUAUUUAAAUUGUCAAAAAUUAUUAUUUAAAUAAAUUUUAAAAUUGUGGCAUAUCCAUAGAGUCCCACAUAUCAGGAAUAAAAAAACUGCCCUUCUAAUAAUAUAUCUUAAUUAAAAAUGAAAAAUUCAAAUUUAAUAACUUCUUAGUUAACCGUGAUUAAAAUUGGAUUUGGUGGGAAGUCUACAACUUUCUCCAAAAUGGAAGCAAAUCAUUGCAAAUUUCUUGGGUUGUUUAUCAGGGGACAGAUGCUUCCUAAAUAGUUAAUGGAGACGUGCAAAGGGACGCCUAAGAUAGCAUCCUGUGUAUUGUCAGUGAAACUGUGGAAUUAGCUGUUUGGGAAUAAAUCCCUCCACGAUAAUAAUAUUGCAGUAAUAAAGAGCAAUAAAUAUGACAACAAUAAUACGGUUAAUCAAUAAGAAUAAUAAGAGCGGUAAUGACAUGGAAAUCCAAUGAGGGAAAAAUCAUGGGCCAAGAGUAGCAACUAAUAUUUCUGUAGUAAGGAAUUUUACACCGUAGUCACAAGUACAAUACUCAAAUUGACUACUACACACUCAAAAGAAAUCUCUAUUUUAAUUUUUCCACCUCACUACAAUAUCGCUCACACUCUAUUUUUCCUCACAGACUAAACUCUCUGUGAUGUCUCACUCUAUUUUUUUCUCUCUUUGUUGGUGUGUAUAACUAGUGAUCUGAAGAUCUCUAUUUAUAGGCAAAAAUCUGCCUCAAAACAUCAACAAAAGAGCAUACUUUUCGUGACUUUCCUAACCAAGAAAGGCAAAUUUGCCAAAGGCCAAUUGACAAAGGCUGCAUAAUGAAUAAUGGGGCUGGAUCUCCACAAAUCUCCCCCUCCAGUCCCACGCACCUGAAGGAGAUGUCUCUGUCUUCUCAGACAGAGAUUAUGCCGAUAAGUUCUUUGCAUAAUUCAAAUUUGUCUUUUGGCACCGCCUUUGUCAGCAGGAUUUUCACUGGUAUGAAUCUUCUUGUGUGAAGUUCUGUCAAAAGGGUGCACGAUGUCAAGUCCAGAUGAGCAGUCUCCCUGUAAAUCGUGUGUCGAAGACAUUUUAUUGGUAAUUUGCACACUGAGGGACAAACAUAAGGGGAGAGGAAGAAGAACUUGGGAUAUGUCAAACUCCAACAUGUUAAUAUCCCUUUAACACUUACAGUCAAAAAAUUAAUUUCAAGAUGCAAUAUACUUUCUAGGAUGUAAAAAAAAAAGGGAAAUGCCAAUUGAUGUUGGAAUCGAUCCGACCAAGUUAUUUCCCGAAAGAUCAAGGUCUAAUAAGCUGCUUAAGUUCCCAACUUCAUUUGGAAUUCACCCUUUGAUUGUGCAAUUUUUGAAGUAAAAUUUUCUGAGAGAGGUGGAAAGAUUCCCCGUGGCGGCUGGAAGCAUGCCAUUUAGAAUGUUGUAAGAUAGAGAAAGAAGUUUUAAAUUUCUGCAAUUGGUUAAGGAAGUCAGGAAGCUUAAUGAUGAAUCACUGGUUAAAUUGUUGUCCCCCAAGUUUAGGUAUUGUAGAUGAGUCAAAUCUCCAAGUGAGUUGGGAAUCAAGCCAGUGAGUUUGUUGUGUGAAAGCUCAACAAUUUUAAGUUUUGAACAAUUGGAGAGAGAAUGAGGAAUAGUUCCAACAAGAUUGGUUAAGUUAAUCAGAUAAAUACUUUCAAUGUUGGGUAAGAUAGAACCCAUGUUUGGUGGGAGGAUUCCUGAUAGAUUGUUGAAUGAAAUACCAAUUAUUCUCAGCCCUGAUAUGUUGAAGAUCUCCAUUGGAAGUGGAACACUGAAUCUAUUAAUCUCAAUAUUAAGUACCUCCAACUCAAUGAGAUUGCUUAUCUCUUUGGGUAUUUCACCUGGAAAUUAACACAUAUAUUGGAUUACUAGUGAGUUUAAAUAGUUGGUUCAAUCUAUUUUUGCAAAGAUAUAAGAGUUGCAUCUUGUUUAAGUUGUCAAUUUCCCAUCGUAGAAUCCACUAAAGAUUUUAACUUUUAUAUUGUUGGUCAUACGAAAGUAUUAAAAGAAAAAAGAGAAAAAAAAUACUAUAGAAAACAAUUAGAUGCAUUCAUAAGAUAAAAACAUACCUAUGAAAUCAUUUUCCGAUAAAAACAAUUCUUGAAGUUGUGAACAAUCUGAUAAGCUUGUAGAAAUAUGACCAUGAAGCUUGUUUCUCGAUAAAUAAAGCCCUUUGAGUAUUGGGAGACCAUUGCAUAAACCGUUGGGAAGAUAUCCUGAUAAGCUAUUGCCAGUAAAUGAAACGAUUUCGAUCCUAGAAAUAUUGAAAAUUGUGAAUGGUAUAGAACCCGUAAGUUGAUUAUAUUGUAUGGACAACCGGUUAAGGUUGUAAAGAUUGCCAAUUUCUUCUGGAAUAUUUCCUUGAAGUGAGUUAUAAGAUAUAACAGUCGUAAAAUAAUUAAUACAACAGGAACAUACCUGUAAAAUGGUUAUAUCCGAUAUACAAUUGCUGCAAGUUACUCAGUCUUCCAAUUUCACUAUGUAUUGGUCCAUCAAAAUCAUUUCCUGAUAAAGACAACACUUGAAGUUGUGAACAAUUUCACAAGCUUGUAGGCAUAUGACCGUGAAGAUUGUUAUAAGACAGAUAAAGCCCUUUGAAUUUCGGAAGACCAUUGCAUAAACCAUUGGGAAGUUAUCCUGAUAAGCUAUUGCUUGUAAAUGCAAUGAAUUCGAUCGUAGAAAUAUUGAAAAUUGUGAAUGGUAUAGAACCCGUAAGUUGAUUAAAUUGUAUGGACAACUAGUUCAUGUUGUGAAGAUUGCCGAUCCCUUCUGGAAUGUUUCCUUGAAGUGAAUUAUAAGAUAUCUCCGAAGUCUCCAACCUUGAGGCAUUCGAGAGUGACAGAGGAAUAGAACCUAUGGGCUUGUUACCCCUCAACUUUAAUUCUCUAAGGUUUAUAAGACUUCCAAUCACUUUUGGGAUUUGACCCUCUAUGGAAUUGAAAUUCAGAUUCAAAGUCUCAAGUGUGGACAUAUUAGAAAAUGAAGAAGGAUGGAACCAAUGAAACUAUUAUUCCCAAAAUUUAGCAAUUGAAGCUGGUGUAAAAACCCAAACCAAGAGGGAACCUCCCCUAUGAAGUUGUUGAAACUUAAAUCAAGAAACUUAAGCCGAUGCAAGUGUGCCAUUUCUUGAGGCAAAUGUCCAUGGAAAUUAUUGCUUCGCAAGUCAAGAGAAACAAGAAAUGAGAGGUUUCCAAAUUCACGGGGAAUCUUGCCUGUAAGAGCCAUGUUAGAAAGAUAGUGACGAGAACCACAAGUGACCCCAAUCCACUGGCAAACGGACCUAACAGGAGACCAACUUUUAUCCAAGAAGCGAAAGGGGUCGGAAAUGAUUUGGGAUUUUAAAGAUAGAAGAGCUAAUUGAUCUGUAGUAAUGUUGGUUUGGGUCAUGACUGAACUAGCCACAAGCAAGAAGAGUGUUGAGAGAAAAAAUGUGAAGGCUUUCUCCAUUAUUACUAAAAUUAGUAGGUAUAUUCUAUAACAUGUGGUUUUGAGACUUUAAAUAGAAAUGAGGUCUCCCUUUUGGUCAUAUUAAUACUAAUACCACCAAAUCAACCAAGUCUUUUACAUCUCAAUCAGAAUUAUAAAAAUGCUGGCAAAAAAUCCCUCUAUUCAGCAAAGACUUGGCAAGUCAACCAAGUCUUGCUUUAGUUUUUUGUGUGCUUAAUUCUUUGGAAAUAGUCUUGCUUUCAUAAUUUGUAGAAUUGUGUGGUGAAGAGUAGUGCCAAUAAUAGUCAAAUCUUGUUAUUUGGUUGCUCCAAACACUAAUGUCUAAAGCUGAUAGAAUUGAGGAAUUAAACCUAACUCACUGGUGUAACUGGUGAAGUCGUUGUGAUGUGAGCAGAAAGUCAUUAGUUCGAGCUGUGGAAACAACCUCUAGCAAAAAAUGUAGGGUAUGGCUAUGUACAAUAGAUCCUUAUGGUCCAACCCUUUCCUAGAUCCGAUGCAUAGCAGGAGCUUAGUGCACCGGGCUGCCCUUUUAUUGGCAAUAAAACAAGAAGUUGCAUUACUUUAAAUUAAUAAAGUUCCGUGGAGUCCAUAAUUGCAUAAAAGGAAUCAAAGUAAUGGUUGCAGAGUGUUGAGGCACUUCAUCGAUGGUCCUUAUACGCCUGCCGGAGCGCUAUGAAGAAUUCAUUAUUUAUAUAAAUUUUAGGGUGGUGAGAGGAAGUGCAAAAUAAGGAUUGAUUUCGCAUAAGGGAAAGGUGCGAUAAACACAUCUAAUGAAAGUUAUUAGCAACAAUAAAUAUCCAUUUUAACAAAGAGUGCUAAAACUUUUACUGACAUUAAUUAAUUGACAUUGGAUCUAAUGUCGCUAUAGACUUUAGGACAUUUAUAGACUUUAGGACAUUUAUAAAGAGUGCUAAACUGCAAUCGUCUGUAAUAAUAUUGCCUCUAAAACAGUAUUAAGGGGUAAUUAAGCUAUUGCCUCAAAAUAUCUUUUUUGUACUGAAAAGGAUAUUUGUUACAAUUUAUUUUGUAUGAUAAUUAUAUUUAUUGUAACGUCCCGAAAUCUCAUUCCAAAACGUCACAUGGUGCGAUAUGGAUUGCGUACAUCUUACUCUCUCCAAACCCCACUUUGUGAGAAUAUACUCAGUUUGUUGUUGUAGGUUGUUACAAGUAUCCUUACAAAGCCAUAUUGCAAGAAGUGGUUGAAACGUAAUUGCAUAUGGAGCCACUUCUAACUAAAAGUUGUUGAAACAUAAUUGCAUAGUACCACUUGUUGAAGUGCAUGGAAAAUGAAUGCGUUGUGGUGUAGUGGAUGACGCUGUUCCAUCCUUAAUCACAGGUCAAAGGUUCGAUUCUGGGUAUGGAGAAAAUCCUGUUGGGAGCGCUGCCACCAUAAUGGACCCUGCAACGCGCGAUCUGAAUUAGUUGCGACUUCAAUGCGGGCACCGAACACUGGAUGAAAAAAAAAAACAAAUAUAAUAUAUAUAUAUAUAUAUACUAGUUUAGCCGCACGUGUAACUUUUGAUUAUUUAAAAUUAGAUGAUUUUAUUGAUUACGAAGGUUUUCAAUUAAGUGUAAAAAGCCCAAAACAUAUAUUUUAUUGUAAGCACAUAGAUAUUUUACUACCACAAGUUUCAAGUGGUUAAUGAAAUUUAAUAUAUCCUAGAUGUAGAUUUAUAGAUUUUUUAAAUCUUCUUAAAAUCAAAUUUAGUUAAUUUAGAAUUCUUAUACUAAUAAAAAAAUAUUAGUUAUCAUUAAUUUUGAUUACUUCUGAUAAGGAAAGAUUUUAUCAUAAAUAUAUUUUAUUAAAUUUGAACUCUUAAAUAUUAGGAAAAAUAGUAAAAAGAUGAUUUUAUCUAAAACAAACACUUUUAAUGAAAGGUAAAAGUUCAAACGACAUAUCUACACUUUUAAUGAAGGGUAAAAAGUUCAAACGACAUAUCUAAGGUCCUUCACACUUUUAAUAUAUUAUAGAUAUAGAUAUAGAUAUAAAUAUAGCGUAUAGAUAUAGAGUAUAGAGUAUAGAUAUAGAUAUGGAUUAUAGAUUAUAGAUAUAUAUAUUCAGGUGAUUUCUUUUUCUAUAUUUAAAAUCUUUUCUUAUUUUUAAAGUCAACUUUUUAUCUUAAAUCUUCUUAAAAUCAAAUAUAGUUGAUUUAGAUUUCUUAAACUAAUAACAAAAAAUAUUAGUUGUCAUUAAUUCUGAUGACUUUUAGUAAGAAAAAAAGUUUUUACCAUAAAUAUAUUUAAUUAACUUUCAACUCUUAAAUAUUAGAAAAAAAUAGUGAAAAAAUAUUUUUGUCUAAAACAAAGACUUUUAAUAAAGAACAAAAAGUUCAAACAACAUUGAUAAGACACUUCACACUUUUAAUAUAACUAGUUUAAACCCACGUGCGUUGCACGUGUAUAUCUAGUCAUGUAGAAUAUAAUACUAAAAAAUGAUAUUAAUAUGUUUAAAAUAAAAGAUUGAAUGAAUAAUUUUAUAUGAAAGAUAAAAUGUACAUUUUUGUGGGCGCUUAAUUCAAAUUUUAAGAAUAUAGUAAAGAUUGGCCAUGAAAUUUCCAGCAUUUAAUAAGAAUGAAAACAUCAAGUACGACGCUAAUAAUAUUGUCUCGGAACAUUAAUGAAAGCUUAAAUCAAAGCAAAAGCAAAAGAACUACAAGUACGACGCUAAUAAUAUUGUCUUAGACACCAUAGUUAUCAAAAAAUAAAAAUAAUCCUAAAAAAGGAUGACUUUCAAGAAUAACCAUUAAGCCUAUAUCACAUAGAAGUCAAAGAAUGCUCAACUAUCAACUUACCUUUUAUCCUAAUACACAACCUUUAAACUCUCUCCUAUCACUACAAGAAAAAGGUCUAUUUAAAACCAACAUUUAGGGACGAGUCAAUAAAUUAGUCGCAAAAAGUAUACUUAUUAAGACAAUAUUAAAUUCUGGUCCUUAAUAUUAUAUUGCGAAGGGAUAAAAUCCAGUCCCUAAUAAUUUUUUAAACUGGUCCCAAAUUCUAAUUACGAUGUUUGAGCGGGAAAAACUAAUUAAUAGGGGCCAAUUCUCUUCAACUUAGCUUUUAAUUAACAUUCUGAAAAUUAAAUUAAGGUAAUAGAUUAUAAUUGCUCAUCUUUCAAUCCUCUCUAAAGCAGCCAUACGCGACCAGUACAUCGAUCGUCGAUGCCGGCUGGACCAACCAAUUUUGCAGAGGUAAAUCUGAAUUGGGCCUCUUGUUUCUUACUUUUGGUUCAAACCCUUUUCAAAAUAUUCAAUUUUUCACAUUGAGGUUGCACUAAUAAAUCUCUUCUUGAUUGUGUUUUCAUGGUGGAAUUGAAGUAAUAUUACCUUAUGGGGUUCUUGUUUCUUUUUUUUUUUUUCCCUUAUCUUUCUCUAUUUUUUCUUAUGUUAACCCUUUAGAUAAUGAGUUUGAACUUGAAUUUUGUUAUGAUUUUGAUGGUUGGGUGGUGACCAUUGGGGUUCUUUCGGACAUGGGCGUUUCUGGUUUUCUUGAUUUUUGUUGUUGUUUGAUGGGAUUGGUCAACCAAACACAUGGGUUUAUGGAGUUAAAGGGCUUUUUUCUCCUACCUUACCCACUUUUGGAGAAUCCAACACUCGCUGAUAUUUUUGAAAAAUCCAAGCAACAUAGAUUAUUUUGAUGAAGCCUUAUCUUCUUUUAUAAUCCCUUGAUCAAGUUUCUGCCAUUUCUCUAGAGCAGCAGAGAAUACUUAGUGCUAUGUGUUAUUGUUUUACCUGGGCAUUACCUAAUAUUGGUCCUAGGAUGAUAUAAGAUGAUUGUUGAUGUUUACCUCUCACAACAAUAUAGAUGAGUGUUGCGUAUUGCUGAAUUGGGGUUCUGGUAUAUGUCUGCGGCUGUAUUUAUCUACAUCAUAAUGUAUAAUGCUUAUAUUAAGCUUGCUAAACAUGCUUAUCUACAAAUGUCUAAGUAUUUUUGCUUAAUGCGCCCCUCUGAACAUUGUAGGCUAAUCCUGAUCUUGAUAUGGAGUUAAAGCCUCAAGCACAGCCACGGCCAUAUCAAGAGAAGAGUCUUAGGAAGAUGUUUGGAAAUGGUAAGGAUACAAAAUCCAAAAUUUGAUUGAUAUUUUCGUGGCAUUCGAGAAUCGAGGCUGUGGUACCAUGUCAUAGGUGAUUGAUAGAUUUAAUGCUCCUGCCUGUGGUUAAAUGGUAUGUUGAAUGCUUCAGGAAGCGCAAGAUCUGGAAUUAUAGUGCUGCCUAGUGGUGCCGGGAAGUCUUUAGUAGGUGUUUCUGCAGCAAGCAGAAUAAAAAAGAGCUGCCUUUGUUUAGCAACAAAUGCUGUGUCUGUGGAUCAAUGGGCUUUCCAGUUUAAGUUGUGGUCUACUAUCCGAGAAGAGUAGAUAUGUCGUUUCACAUCUGACAGCAAAGAAAAAUUCCGCGGAAAUGUCGGUGUGGUGGUGACAACAUAUAACAUGGUUGCUUUUGGUGGCAAACGUUCUGAAGAAUCUGAGAAAAUCAUUGAAGAAAUAAGAAAUAGAGAACGGGGUUUACUACUCAUGGAUGAGGUAAAUAUCGGGUCUUGCAAUGUUUCAAGUUGUGCCUUUCAAAUAAGUAUCCAGUAAAUUGCUUUUCGAGGUUAAUGCAAAACAAUAGUUUAGUUUGAAUGUUGUCCUUAUAGCAGGAAUAUCAUAUCCGUUUAUGUUUCUGUUUAAGGAAGAACAUACAAUGGUUCGUACAUACAUACAUACAUACAGAUACACAUGGAGAUAGAUGUGCGUGCACACACACAUGCAUACUCGCUGUUUCAAUAUAUAUGCUUCACUUUCCUUUUUAGUCUCUUUUAAAAAAAGGCUCCUUUCUAUAUAGUAAGUUUUUAGUUCCAAUAUUCCCUGUUUGUUUACCUUUAGUGACACUGUCUUAUAGAAUGACGUGGCUUGUUAAGACCAUAAGAUUCACUGGUAUUAUUGGAAUGUUAUACACACCUUAGUUUAAGAACACAUGAUUCAAAAGUCUUCUUGACAUUCUUAAAAUUCGGUCACAGUCAAGCUUAGAAAAAUGAAACGCAGUGAGUAUACAUUAUCCUAUGUAAAGAAAUAUGAUAGCUUUAUCGAUUUACUAUUUCUUGGUUGGUUUAUCCAUUUCUGUGUACUCUUGCACUUAGUUGUUGCCAAUAAAUAAUGGUCAAUUUCGUUUCACUCUUCCCUUUAUUUGGAAACUAAUAGUAAUUACUGAUGUCAAAAUUGAUCUAUUCUAAAAUAAUAUAUCUGUAUUUAUUCGAAUGUUUAUAAUGUAUUUUUUUACUCUACUGGUGCUAUGUGCAAUUUGGAUGAUUUUCUUUUCUCCAAAAAAGUUCUGGUUCAGUACAAGUAUCUUGUGGAAAUACAUGUUGCAUAAUAUUUUACCAAAGGUUAAUUUCAGCUUUGAGACUAGAUAUUAAAGGUAACUUUGAAUGUAUACUGGCAUAACUAUAAGGGUCUCUUUCUUGGUAUUUAUAUAGGUGCACGUGGUUCCAGCACAUAUGUUUCGAAAGGUCAUUAGUAUCACGAAAUCACACUGCAAACUUGUGCUUACUGGUACGCACUUCUGAAAGAGAGUUCUUGCAAAUUGCAAUGUUAAUUUUGUUUGGCAUUUCACAAAAUUUAAUGGACUAUUUGGCGUACUUGACAGCUACGCUUGUCAGAGAAGACAAGAGGAUCACAGAUCUGAACUGCCUGCAUUAUUGCCCUUACCGAUCAGGUAUAUAAGUAAUUAAUUUGGUAUCAACCAUUUUUGUCCUUGGAUGCAUUAGGAGAGAAAGGAUUUCCCAAUGUAAUAUUUAGUGCUUAUGUUUCGGCAUCAGAUUGUUUUGUUAAGAGAAUGGUUGUGGAGUGAAGUUAUCUAGUAUUUGUCAGGAUAACAUGUUUGGCCUUUCUGUAAUAAAAGGAAGGGAGAGUUAAUUUAAGGAAAUAUAAUGGGUUCAUCGUAACUUUUUGAGGUAUGUACAAACCUUCCUUUAAGAAAAGCAGAUUCUACUCUCUGUCGAGCCUAAAGUGAAAUUAACACUGCCCGUUUAGGAAACAAGAGUAGCUUGAUGGAGUAGAGAUACAGGAAAAUGCUUUAAUUUGUUCCGUUAGUUGCUGAGAUGUCCAGUAACAAUGAAGUUUCUUUUAGACAAAAACCUUUGGACCUCUUAUCCAUUGUUACAACCAAAAUAAGGUGUGGACAAGUAGUUUUGUGAUUAAAGUGGAAAGGAAUUAUAAAAAUGUUGAGCUAUGUAGAAGUUUAUAUCCUUGCAUAUGUUAAAUUUAUCAUUUUUCCUCUCUUCUCAGGGUCUCCAUGCCAUCAACUUAGGAGAUAGCGGAUUUAUGUUGGUUAGAGAUGGAUCUACUGUUUUCGGAUCCCCAGUGCAGCAGCAUGAUUUCAAUUUUACGUAUCAGCUGGAAAGUGGUAAUGCCGGUGAUUCACCAAGCUCUGGGGAGGUCAGUUUAUAAUUGGUGGUCUUGCUAUCUACUUGGUAUGAAGGUUCUGCUUUUGUAGAGUGUCUGAGUAGACAACUUACUACUCGGGAACAAAUGCUAAUUGAGAAGUCUUUAUUGAGCUGUUUUUGCCGAUAUAAACAGUUAAGUCUGAGUCAGCCGUAGAACUUUGAUCUCUUACCAAAUCCCAUGAAUCAAAUUACAGUUUCAAGAAAUGUGAGGCAUCUAACUCAUAUAAUUAAGAAAUGUUUUCAGUGAUAAGACAUUUAACUCAUAAACCGUUCGUGGUGUUGAGUGAUGUCUAUGAUUUCGGAUAGGUAGUUUUUAGUAUUAUCUUGUGGCUGUUGUAUUAUUGUUUGCAGACUGGACUAGUUGAUUUCGUGUUGUUGUUGUAUGUUUAUACCCUUCUUGCUCUCUCCCUGCUCUUAGAUGACCUAACUUUUGGAUGCUCUGAGUGAAAGUAUUCUUGCAAACUGAAUAAUUUAAGAUCUAAUGACAUUCUAACACCCGUUGCAGGCCCCUCACCUAAUGCUGUUAUGUGUUUAUACCUCGAGUUGAAUAUUGUGUCAACUUUAGAUGUGGGGUCUUUAUCAUCACUCUAAUUUUUAUCUCUCCCAUUCAGUCGAUCUGUAGUCUAUUUCUCUGUUAAAAUGAAUGGUUGGCUUCUGGUGCAGGUGUUUAAAAUACCUGUUGCUCCAGGAGAUGUCAUCAUUGCUGGAACUGAUGGUUUAUUUGACAAUUUGUACAACAAUGAUAUAAGUGCAGUAGUGGGGCAUGCAACGAGAGCUGGUUUACCUCCUCAGGUUGUAGCUCAGAAGAUAGCUGCAUUGGCUCGGCAAAGAGCACAGGAUCAAAAACAGGCAAAUCCCUUCUCUGCUGCAGCGCAAGAAGCUGGUUUUCGUUACCAUGGUGGGAAGUUGGAUGACGUUACUAUGGUUGUGGCUUACAUAACCAGUGAGAAAAAUGUACGAGGAGACUAUACCCUGACCACCUGACAUGUCCUCUCUUUUAUGUUCAUUAUAUGAUUGCGUUGUUUUUUUCUGCCAGACACGAAUAUCUCUCCAUCUUAUCUAAUCGCUAUAGCCUUGAUAAUGAGUGCAAUCCUGAGAAGAAUGACUCUCAGCCUCCGAGAAGUGGUGGUCCAAGAGUGGAAUGGCUGGGGGAGACAGAACGUGAAAGUGCCAGAAUUGUGCGGGAAUGGGUUGAGACUGCGGAAAUUGUGAGAAUUGCCCAACCAGAGCAUAUUCGUAGGGAUAUGUUUAGACUGCGUGGGAGGCAGGUCUGCUUGAUUUGCUUAUGAGGAUUGAAAGGGAAAGGCAAAGGGAACUUCAGAGUCUGCUAGAGCAUCGUGCAGUUUCUGAUUUUGCCCAUCACAAUCAGAUUCAGGUUGGUUGCCGAUUUAUGCCUUUUAUUCUUUAGCCAGACUAUUCUUUGUCCUCUAUUUUUUGUGUUGCAGUCUUCUUAAAAAUUUUGACUAAGCGCUCAAUGUGUGCUUUGUGAGGUCGUGAUUUGGCUCUAAAUUUUGUCCUUUUAUGUUUUAUAUCCUUCUACAGUCACUACUCAGAGGAAGAUUCUUGCAUGAAAGGCCUGCUGAGGAAGAGAGACCACCUUCAAUAGCAGCAAGUGAACUAGUUCAGCUAAGACAAUGUAACACUGUCUCGGGGCUGAGGUAUGUAAUAUAGUGUCUUGUUCCUUUGUUUUGAAUAUUUAGAUCUUUUUGUCUUUGUGAAACAUGCUCUACUAAUUAAUUGGCUUCACGUUCAUGCAUUACUUUUAAAAUGAACAAUACAACUUUUUCUUUUUGAAUUCUAAACAAGCUCCAGCUUAGGUAUGAUACUUUUCAUUAACUCUAAUAAAAUGUCAUAUGUAUCUUACCAUUUAUCUGCACUAUAUUUGGUCACCCCUACACGUACUUAUUUCCAGAAAGUUGCAGGUAAUUUUUGAAGAUAGAUGCUCACAUCGAUGAUAUGAUCAGACUGAUUGAAGGGCAAUAUCCAUAUGUAAUCGAUGCUUCUAACUAUGGAAACAUUUCCUGUUAUAUCAAAAACAGGCACUGUUACAGUUCUCUUGAUUUGAUUUAAUCUCAAUGUUGUUAUAACUGCCUAAAUUUGCAUUAUAUUUGGACCAUCAACUUCAAUUUAAGUGUAAAAGUAAAGCAAUAUGGAAUACUCGUCUCAAAGUUCUUUUAUAAUGCCUAACAACACUAACAAUGUUCAGUUCAUUAACUGAAGAUUGACAACCAACAAAUCUAUUACUACAACCAAAUUCGUAACCAAUAGUCAAUCACAAUACCAAAUAUGUAUUCUUUAAUAUUAAGGCUUGCUCUCAUAUUGUUAUUGUAUCAUCUUGGUUGUCAACAAAUUAGCUCCAUUGGUUUUUCAAAUUAAAUUCAGCCCAUAUUGCCAAAUUUGUCAUGGCCUUGCCCAUUGCGGGUGUUUGUUGAAUGAGUGGGCUUUAUCAACUAAUCAUGUUCAGUGUAGUGGCAUGUACAAUGGUUUCUCACUCCCCUUGAAGAUCAGUUCUACAUUGGCUUCAGACAAACUAAAACGUGGGUAGCUCAAAAUAGCAAUUGGACUUGGCACUUUUCAGACAAAGAAAUUAUUGGUGUUUGAACUCAAAGAGCCUAGGUAGCUGGAUAAAGCUAAUAGGACAUCUAUAUUAAUAGUGUGAGUUAGUAGAGGAUUCAGUUUUCUUUUUUCCGUGAAGUAUUUGUGUAAAUGAUGUGUAUAUGGUGUUCAUGCGUAUUUAUGAAAGCGAAUUAUGGUAAUUUGAUAUAUAUAGAGAUAGAUAGAUAGAUAGAUAGAUAGAUAGAUACACAUUUGAUUAAUGCUAUUAGAAGUUGUAUAAUUAUAUAUAUAGGGACAAAACUUUAUCUGAAUAGGCUUUUUAGGACCGUUAAACUGGUGGUUGAAAAUCUUAGCACCAAAUGUACUUUCAGGACCAGAUUUUUGUUGGUCACAAAAUCUAUUUAAUCGAGGAUCAGAAAUAUGGUCCCUAAAAGCAUUUUAAGGACUAGUUUUAUGUUGGUCGCAAAAACUAUUUUAGGGACUAGCUAGUUUGACCUGUCGUAUAAGACCUUUAGUGAAGGAGGCUUAGGGACGGGUGGCGACCAGCUUUUCCGUCGUUAAAAUAUAAUUAGGACUAGGUAGUUAGGCUAUUUGGGACGAGAUAUAUCAUCGUAAAAGGAUAACUAGGAUUGAAUUUUGUCCGUCGCGAAAGGUUUUUAGGGACCGGGUUUGUUGCGUCAUCGCUAUUGAGCAUUAGCGGUGGAGUCUGUUAGGACGGGAUGCUACCGGUUUUUUCCCGUCUCAAAAGACCAAUUGGAACGAGAUUUGAACUUUUUGGGAUCAAAUUUCCCUUCCUUAUAGGCCAUUUUCUUGUAGUGUAUCUAAGGUUAUGUCCAUGGUAAAGUCAAAAUGAACCACGUCCGUCUUAAUUACUUCCCUCGAUUCCUCUGCUAACGCCCGCCACUAUCAAUACUCACACCAAAUAAAUUCUACUUUACCACAAAUUAAUUAGAAAAAAUAAAGCAACACAAUCAAAUCAAUGAGAAAUAAGAUGGUACAAUUCAAUUGUAAAAAUGUGUUAUUCUAACAUAACAUCAAAUACUUCAACAAAAAAGGUAUAAUCUUAAUAUUCAAGUCCUAAUGAUAUCUCACGAUUGUGUAAGGCAACUAAAUAUAGAACUGAAUUUAAAUAACUAAAAUAGCAUUCAUUCUAUGAUGUUUACCAUUUCAAAAAUAGAGAAACACAAAACACUCAAGGUUGAGCACAAAGAAAUAACAAUUUGUUGAAUCCAAACAAUUUACUAAAGAAAAUAAUUAACAAUCCAAUAAUUCAUUUCAAAAAAAAAAAAAGGAAAAGAAACUGAGCUUAACUUUGAAGGUCUUACUUUUUAUCAAUAAAUGACUCCAAAUCUUUCUAUGCCAUAGCAGUUUUCUGACAUCUUAAGCAAUUCCAUUCAAACCGUCUAAUCUAGAAAAUAACAAUCUCAUCUUUCCCCGUGCUAGCAAUGCGUUAGACACUUACCCUACCCUAUUUAUUAGUAUUUUUAUGGAGAGAAAGAUUAUUUUUUGACACCUAUCAUCGUUCAUCCUUUAAAGUAACCUACAAAAUUAGUGUAAAACAACUCAAAUAUUAAUCAAUGUAGUUUUUCGAUAUAAAAAAAAACUAAUAACUAUUAGAUUAAAACAACCUAUUAAUAAAUAUACAUGGACCUUGCAACAAUGAAAGUUGCUUACUGGGCGCGCGUGCAUGGUUGCACAACUCUCAGCAGUUGCUAGCCUGAAUAAAUAAUAAUAAUAAUAAUAAUAAUAAUAAUAAUAAUAAUAAUAAUAAUAAUAAUAAUAAUAAUAAUAAUGAUUCAAAAAGAAAAAUCAAUAGACACAUCAUAUACCUUGACUAUAUUCCAUCGUCCGUGCAAUAACUUCACAAUGUUGAGAGUUUUGUAUCUCGAGAAGUUUUCUUUCCAGGAACUUCUCUCCAAAGCAAUUGAUAAUUUGGUGCACUUGAGAUACCCCUGUUUAAGACAUCCACACUUUCUAAAAAAUGCCAUCUUACAUAACUAAUUUUAAGUACCUACAAACACUUUUUUUUAGGGUGAAUAUCUUCUCGUAUCUGACAUUGCUCGUAUCUGACAUUGUUGAACAUAGAAGUUGCAAAACUUUCAGAACUUAUAUCUUCCCCAUUCAAAUCAAAACACUUGAGUUAGAGUUAAAUCCCUUAGAGUUCAAUAUGAAUACAAAAGAAACUAUAAAUCAUGCAUCUGUUGCUGCUAAUCAACGGCUAGCGACACUCAGCAACACCAACAAUGCAAAAUAAUGUAUCUACUAUGAAGUAAAAUACAAUAAUUUGAACAUGGUUUACCUGGAUUGAGUGAGGAUGGACCAACUUUGCACUGCUACUACUGUUAAGAGGCAAAUCGCCGAGAUAGUAUCUUCGGGAAGGACUUUUGGACCUGCCUUUGUUUAUCAAUAAUACAUGAAACCUUGGAAACAUAAGCUCUAUAACUUUCUCUUCACGUAUCCCUUUCUUCAUCUUCAUGUACUUAAUAGUAUAUAUUUACAGAAACAUAACCCUAGAAUUGAAAAAAAAGUGAGAGAGCAACAUAAUCGACCGUCUCUUUAUGCAUUAUGUAUUUGUAGGUUUUAUUAGGACUCCUUAUAUAUUAAUUUUUCUAAUUAAUAUGUCUUAUCAUAAUAUAGUAGGAAAAUAGAAUAGGACUUUGUAAUUUAAAUAGAAUAGGACUUUGUUGGCAAAUGGCUAAAUUAUAAUAAUUUAUAUUGCUUUAUUGGAUUUAUAAUUUAAAUAGAAUAUGUGAAAAGACGAUUUUGUCUAAAGGAAAGACUUUUAAUGAAGGGCAAAAAGUUCAAACGUGAUUUAUAAGACCUUUCACACUUUUAAGAUAAUAGAGAUAUAUAAUAGAUAGUUAUAGAUUCUUCUUAUUCUUAUUCUUUUUAUAUUAUAUUAUUAUAGGUUAUAGAUAUAGAUAUAGAUUUAGUAUCAAUAUUGUAGUAUUUCAUCGGUCAAUUUGAAAGCUUGAGCCUUCGGCCAUGAAUAAUUUUAAAUGUUGAUCUCACUAAUUUUAUGUUGAUAGUUGUUUAUUACAUACUAUUUUGGCAUAAUUACAAAAAAAAUUAUAUAUUGUUUCAUAGCCAAAAAAGUACAUUUUAUUUUUAUAGUUCAAAAUCUGAAUUUGUGUCGACUUGGUAAUGCUAUGACGAAAGAAGAAUUUAGAAACACCAAUUAACACCAUAAAUAAACCGACAUCGAGUACUCUAAAGUAUGGGUGUCAAAUGGGCCGGGUCGGGCCAACCCGGAGCCGGCCCUUUUAUUUUAAUCGGGUUGAGGGAUGGUUAAGGGCCGGUUUUGGCGCUAGACGGGCCGGACCGGACCGGGCCAAACAGUAAAAAAUUAAAACCCACCCUAACCCGACCCACUUAACCCAACCCAGUCAAACCCACCAAAACCCGAUCAAAUCCGGUUAAUAAAUUGGUCAAACCCGGUCAAAAAUAUAAAAAAAAAAAACUUUCUUUCAAUAUACAUUACAUAUACCCACCUAUAUACAUUAUAAAUACGUUAAAUAAUAUAUAUACACUAUAUAUAUAGUAUAUACUACAUUAGAAUUUAAAAAAUAUAUACACAUACACAAUUAGUCAAUCACUCAUAUAUACUCACCAUUCAAUGUAUAUAUACUACUACUUAUAAAAUAUACUACAAUAUAUAUACAUUACAAUAUAUAUAGAUAUACUUAUAUACUAAUUUAUAAAAUAUAUACACAUGUAUACGUUAAAUAUACACUUCUAUAGAAGAUAUAUGCACAAAUAUACAAAACAUAUGCUACUUAAUAUAAUAAAUUAAUAAUAUUUGGUAGUAAAUUAAUAAUAUAUUAGAAGUAAGUUUUUAAUUUAAAGUAGAAAACUAGAAAUUCAAUUUAAAAUUUUAAAUCGUUAAAUGAAAAAAUAUAAAAAGCAAGGACUAAGGAGUGAAUGAAUUUGGGGAAUUUUAUUGAUUGCAAAAUGAUCCAAAAUUUAUAAUUUACAUGAAUGAAAAAUCUACAAAUUAUGCAUCAUUUUUUCCAACUCAUUCAUGUUAAUAUUUAGCGGGAACUUGCAUAGGAUAGCCGAAGUCAACGGGUGCAAAACCAUGCAUUGGACUUGAUUUUGCUGAGUUCUCCCGUGAAGUCAUAAUUUCUUCAAGUUUCAGCUCGUCGCUUGGCUUCGGUUCCAUUCCUUGGUUUCUUUUUUCUGCUCUAAUCCAAUCUCUGAGGCAAACUAGAACAUUCAUUGCAUCAAUUCAAUCUCUGCUGCUGUCGUCCCUGACUAAAGGCGCUCUCUGAUGCAACGGUUGACAUUGGAACAUUCAAGAUAUCUCUAGCUAAUCUUAAAAGCACAGGAUAUUGUGUUUCAUUACUCCUCCAUCAAUUCAAUGUGUUGAUCCGUCGUUUGCGAUCCUCUGGUGCCGUCCGAAGAUAAUAUUUCAGCUCUUCCCGAUAAGUUAAUGUGUAAGUUCUCUCAUCAACACUGUUCCAACAAUUUAAAUCAUAAAACGAAGCAAAAAAACCACUAUGUNNNNNNNNNNNNNNNNNNNNNNNNNNNNNNNNNNNNNNNNNNNNNNNNNNNNNNNNNNNNNNNNNNNNNNNNNNNNNNNNNNNNNNNNNNNNNNNNNNNNNNNNNNNNNNNNNNNNNNNNNNNNNNNNNNNNNNNNNNNNNNNNNNNNNNNNNNNNNNNNNNNNNNNNNNNNNNNNNNNNNNNNNNNNNNNNNNNNNNNNNNNNNNNNNNNNNNNNNNNNNNNNNNNNNNNNNNNNNNNNNNNNNNNNNNNNNNNNNNNNNNNNNNNNNNNNNNNNNNNNNNNNNNNNNNNNNNNNNNNNNNNNNNNNNNNNNNNNNNNNNNNNNNNNNNNNNNNNNNNNNNNNNNNNNNNNNNNNNNNNNNNNNNNNNNNNNNNNNNNNNNNNNNNNNNNNNNNNNNNNNNNNNNNNNNNNNNNNNNNNNNNNNNNNNNNNNNNNNNNNNNNNNNNNNNNNNNNNNNNNNNNNNNNNNNNNNNNNNNNNNNNNNNNNNNNNNNNNNNNNNNNNNNNNNNNNNNNNNNNNNNNNNNNNNNNNNNNNNNNNNNNNNNNNNNNNNNNNNNNNNNNNNNNNNNNNNNNNNNNNNNNNNNNNNNNNNNNNNNNNNNNNNNNNNNNNNNNNNNNNNNNNNNNNNNNNNNNNNNNNNNNNNNNNNNNNNNNNNNNNNNNNNNNNNNNNNNNNNNNNNNNNNNNNNNNNNNNNNNNNNNNNNNNNNNNNNNNNNNNNNNNNNNNNNNNNNNNNNNNNNNNNNNNNNNNNNNNNNNNNNNNNNNNNNNNNNNNNNNNNNNNNNNNNNNNNNNNNNNNNNNNNNNNNNNNNNNNNNNNNNNNNNNNNNNNNNNNNNNNNNNNNNNNNNNNNNNNNNNNNNNNNNNNNNNNNNNNNNNNNNNNNNNNNNNNNNNNNNNNNNNNNNNNNNNNNNNNNNNNNNNNNNNNNNNNNNNNNNNNNNNNNNNNNNNNNNNNNNNNNNNNNNNNNNNNNNNNNNNNNNNNNNNNNNNNNNNNNNNNNNNNNNNNNNNNNNNNNNNNNNNNNNNNNNNNNNNNNNNNNNNNNNNNNNNNNNNNNNNNNNNNNNNNNNNNUAACGGUUAAAUAAUCAUUUUUAUUUACAGCACGACCAAGAUCAGAAGUUAGGGACAAUCUACAUUGAAUAUUUUUUAACAAUGUUGAUAAAUAAAAAUAAUAUUGUGAAUGGAGUCUAAAAAUAUCAGACCGACAAGUAGUUCUAGGAAUACCGUUAAACAUAGGAUUAUAAAUUACUUGUAUAUAACGAAUAAAGACAUCAGAGGAAGGAAAACUAAAAGGCAAACAACCCACAACUACCAUUUUAGCUAUUUCUUCCCGGUCCCUCAAUUUAUUAUACUUCUUCGCUACGUGACCGAUUGCUGGGUCCAUUCUAGUUUGCGUUGGCCCACCAACAUCCCCACACUGGGUUUGUUGUUGUUGUUGUUGUUGUUGUGAUCUUAAGCUAUAUGUCUCAUUAACGUACUCGUACCCCCUUGCUUGCCUCCACUUCUAUGCUUAUAUAUUUGUUGACAAAUAUUGCAUUGUACCUCAAUAUCUGAUAUACGUUCAAAAAAUUGCCAUGCAACANNNNNNNNNNNNNNNNNNNNNNNNNNNNNNNNNNNNNNNNNNNNNNNNNNNNNNNNNNNNNNNNNNNNNNNNNNNNNNNNNNNNNNNNNNNNNNNNNNNNNNNNNNNNNNNNNNNNNNNNNNNNNNNNNNNNNNNNNNNNNNNNNNNNNNNNNNNNNNNNNNNNNNNNNNNNNNNNNNNNNNNNNNNNNNNNNNNNNGUGAACACUUUAAGAAAUUAAAUAUAUUGAAUAUUUGAGAAUUGAGAAUUGAGAUUUGAGAGAGAAUGAGAUUUGAGAGAGUGAAAAAUUGUGUGAAAAAUGAUUUGAAGUUGUAGGGUAUUUAUAGAAUUUUUUUUGGGAUUAAAAAAUAUUUUUUAAAGUUAAUUUUUUUUUUUUAAUAAAUGGGCCCAAACUAGCCGUUUGGACCUAAAAACGGCUAUAUAGCCGUUGGGCCAACGGCUAGUUUGGCCCAAAAUCCCAAUUUUUUUUAAUUUUUUUUUUAAAAAAAGGUAUCCGGGCCGGGCCGAUUAACCGGCAGGCCUGGACCGGGCUUGGUUCGGACCGGAUUGGCUGGGUCCAUUAAAAAAAAUAACCGAUCCGGAACCCGAAACCCUAAAGCCCUAGGGCUUAUCGGGUCAGGUCAAACCGGGCCGGGUUAGUUACGAGGGUCGGGUCGGCCCGGCCCACUUGACACCCUUAUUGAGGAUAUACAAAUUUUGAUAUAAACUAAUAGAAUUACAAAUACAUGAAUUAUUUCUUUUACCGAUAAUAGUAACAUAAAAGCUUUAUCGAUAAUACUCAUAUAAAAGCAAAUUAGGAUAACCCCAUAACCCUAAAAAAGAUAAAAGUAUUCGCUUUAAUUCAUGUAGCAAGUGCACAAAUUGCAAUUUACUUUUGAUUUUUGAUUGGGUAUCUAUGGAUUUGAUAUUUUUUUUCUUAGUGUAGCUUAGAUCUUCAUAUGUCAAGAGAAAAUAGAAUUGAAAAAGCAUAUAAUUAUUUGGCGAUUCUUUUAACAUUGUGCACUUUUAGGAGUCGUUUUUUUUUUUUUAAAAAAAAAUAUUUCCUAUAUAUUUUAGGGAUUAUAUAUUUAUUCUUCUAAUAAUACUUUUUGCCGUGUCUUUCGAAAAGAGAUUCUCUACCUCUGGAACUAAAAUUUACGUACAUUUUAUCUUUUUCAAAUCCCACAUUGUAAAAUUUCAUUGAAUAUAUUGUUGUUGCUGCAAUGCUCGUUGUAUCUAUUUUGACACCUCAUAAACAUUCAUUGUCUCAGGUAAUUAAUCCACCUCAAUCGAUAACUUUUUUCACGUCACGGUAAUGCUAACAAACGAUCAGGUCGAUCACUAAAGAGGUCGAUCACUUAAAAAUAAAUAAAAUUAGUAACUCUGAAUAUGAGGUAAAAAAAAUAAAAUUAGUAACUCUGAAUAUGAGGCAUAACAAAUCAUCAAAACAUGAGGAAGGAUAUGUGUAUAAAUAUCUAUUUUGGGAGGGUACGCCAAUUGCCAUGACCAUAUUUCUAUAUGAAAGAAAUAAGCUUCAAAUCUUCAAGAGGACUCCAUGGAGUGGCCCUUUCAUCACUUAUAUAAUUUUAUUAAAAGUAAGUACAUAUCCUUACAAUUAUAUGAAAACAUCAAAGUAAAAUUCUAGUCUUCAAGCAUGUUUAUUAUCUGCAACAACAACAUAUAAAAAGAACUUACCCGGCCACCUCCUAUUACUACUUUAAUGAGGCAAGAAAUUGUUUUCGAUAGAUUCUUGACUCAAGAAAUAAUAAUAAUCAAGUCAAAGAAUUAAGUAAUAAAACUUUACAGUAAAAUCAUACUUUUUGAGAUGAUAAGAUGCUACAAAAAUAAAAUAAGAAAAUUCAAUUACUACUUUUAUGAGGCAAGCAAUUAUUUUCAGUAGAUUCUUGACUCAAGAAAUAAUAAUAAUCAGAGGCGGAUCUAGAAUUUAAAGGUUGUGGGUUCCCAACUUAUAAUUCUGAUAUAUUUACUAGUUUUUUCAAUAUAAAUUCAAGAACCGGACGAAAGUUAUGGGUUCUCGGGAACCCGCACUUUAUAUUGUGCAUCCGCCCCUGAUAAUAAUCAAGUCAAAGAAUUAUGUAAUAAUAAUUUAUCAUAAAGUUAUACUUAUUUGAGAUGACUAGAUGCUACAAAAAUAAAAUAAGAAAAUUCAAUUCAAUUUAAUCCACAUCAAAAUAGAAACUCACAAAAAUUCUACCAUGUAAAAAUAGAGAGAAGUUUACUAUUCAUUAAGAAUUCUAGUGUCUUUUUAUUUAUCCAUAAAUUCUAAACCUAUGGCAAUUCUGCACUUAAAAGGAAAAUUAAUAAUGCUCUUACUCUUUCUAUAGUUUGGAUUUCUUCCCAUAUAUCCCAUAUAUAUUUAUAUGUUCUAUAUGGGACGUGGAGACUCCAACUGGCUAAAUAUAUAUGUUCUGGAUGUUCUAUAGUGGACGUGGAGACUCCAACUGGUACUCAACUUUGGAUUUUUAUCACAGAAAGUCACUCAAUUUUAGAAUUUUAUUCCAGAAAGUCACUCAACUUUCACAUUUUUACUCAGAAAGUCACUCAACUUUCAUAUUUGAGUUACUUUCUGAGUAAAAAUGUGAAAGUUGAGUGACUUUCUGAGUAAAGAUCAAAGUUGAGUGACUUUCCGGUAUAAAAGUCCAAAGUUGAGUGACCAUUUAAGUUAUUAACUCCCAAAAUUAACAAACUUAAAUAUGUACAUUUUCUAUGCUAUAUGAAAUAGUUACGUAUUCUUUUUACUUCUUUUGCGAAAAGUAUGGUAAUAAUAAAUGGAGUUGUAAUAUUACUUGGACAUUCGUAUACAUCCAGAAAUAUUCUAUAGUAUCUUUCUAUCUAAUUUAUUUAGGCUUCUUCUUAUAUAUUGUACAUAUUACAUUUAUUUAUUUAUUUAUUGAAAAAAAAGUAAAAAGACGAUUUUGUUUACUACGGAGUCUUUAUGAAGGAUAAAAAGUUUAAUUCACUUUUCUAAGAGCCUUCACACUUUUAAUAUAUUAUAUAGAUAUAAAUAUAGAUUAUAGAUAUAGAUAUAGAUUAUAGAUAUAGAUUAUAUAUAUAUAUAUAUAUGUGUGUGUGUGUGUUCUUGAACCUCCUUACUUUUAAUUAAGAUAUCUAUCUUUUUAUGCAAUUUUGAUAAUUCUGGUUCUUGCUGCACUGAUUUUUAAGUUUUUUUUAUAUCUAUCUUUUUAUGUAAGUCUAAUAAUAAUUCUAUUAUAGUAUUAUUUUAUUUUAACAAAAUUUUAUCUGUUAUACUUGAAGGUAUAUGCUUAGAGGUUUUUAAAUAAAUAUUUUUUAAAUCCUACUACUCCCUCUUUCCUAUUGUUUCUUUGUGUUUUUAGUUCUUUUUCGCCUAUUUUCUCCCAAACUUGAAAAUUCAUAUAUAUAUAUAUAUAUAUAUAUAUAUGCGGAUAUUUUUUUUUUACCCCUUUUAUCUCUUUCUCUUAGCCUAUGUCCUUCGUAACAGACUUCUUUAGCCACACUCCGGAACAUUCAUUUGGCAACUAACACUCGUCCUUUCACCUAUUUUGCAGACAUGACGGACUAUCAAGGCUAGAAUUCCUAGGAAUUUACAAGCUAAUCUAUCAUUGUUGUUAAGAAGCUAAGAAACUAACCAUUUACUAAGGGUCAAUUUUAAGUAAAUAAUUUACAUGAUUGAUAUUAAAGUAAAUAAUUUACAUGAUUGAUAUUAAAAACAUAAUAACAUAUGAAAACAUAUUUUUUAGUAGGGAAAAUAAGCAUGAAUAAGAACUUACAUGAAGUAACUUGGAAAGAGAUUUCCCUUUCGGGAAUCCCCUAAGAGCUUUAGAAAAAUGGAAAAACAUUUGAUCUCGAAACUUUAUAUUACAAACUUUAUUUUAUACAAAGAGGAGAAGUAGGUUAAGAAAGGAAAGUUUAUACAUUCGAGGGAGAGAUUGGUUGAGGAGAGGAUUUUUAUUCUAAGAAUUUUCUUUUUAGAUUUCGUUCUGUCUUUCUACUGAAUAUCUUAAGUCUUAUACAGGAUCAAAGAAAGAUAAAAUGGGUGAUCCAAAAACAUUCUACGUGUUCCUUAAACAAAUGGCCGACACUUAAAGAUAAAAAGCUUGAAAAAGAAUCUAAUAAUGCAGGUCGGGUGUUCAUUGGGCCCCAUCGUCACAUGCAUUACUAUUUCCUUUUUGACUUUUACAUAUGCAUGCUUCUACAGUUUUCUCUCUUUUUGGAGGGUAACGUUAAAGGAAGCACUCUAUUAUUUGUAUAGGACACAAAGUGGGCAUCCCCACCUGAUAGACCUUAUCUUUAAAGUAAGUUGUUUCUUCCAUGUCUGGUUGUUUACUCUUCCACAUCUCUACUCUUUUCUUCCAUGUUUGGUUGUUUAUUCUUCCACGUCUCUACCUUUUUUUUUUGUCUGAUUAUCUUCCGUCACUAUCUAUUCUGUGUCCAAAUUGUGCAGGGCAAUGGAGUCAAAACUCAUUCGUGAGUCAUCGUCUUCAUUUGGAUCCUGUGCAUCUUGGAGAUACGCUAAACUAUUUUGAUACUCGUCUUCUUUUUCGUCUAGUCUUGUAGUAUUGUUAGUUGUAUUACUAAUAUCUGGAACUACUCUGUCUGUACUUGUACUGGAUCUAUCAAUAUGUUUGUCCUGACCUUGGUUACUAAAAAAUCUUUCUAGUGUCUGUUGUAAUAUGAUCUCAAUUUUCUCUUUUUUCCUUUUAGAAAUCAAAGUCUUCUUUAAUUUAUUAUUAGCAGAAGUAGGAGGUUUUUGUCUAGAUGAAGGACCAGCUUCAUCUUCAUUUUUGGGCAAAAUGACAGCCAUUAACGGAUUUGACUUGUCUUUACCAAUUACCAUUUGAAUUGGACUAGCUGUACCAACAUCUGGUACAGUGGAUUUUUAAGCAUUCAGAGGGGAAUGCACACCCUUCUCAUCCAUUUUUCUUGGAGAUAGAGAACUCUGAGUCCGUGUUCUUGCAAUUGUAUUCCUUGUCUGAUACUUAUUGAGCUUGUCUUGGAGAGUCUGUACUUGCUCCAUUAAUUUAGAAUUUUCUGUGAUAAGGGCCUCCUUUUAAAAAUUCAAUCUUUUGAAUGCUUCGGUCAUUGAGAUGCAGUGAUCACAAAAAAUUGUUUUUUUGGUGUCUUUUUGGAUGUUAUAUUGUGGUGUCUGGUUAGGAUUAUGUCUAAGGGAUGGAGAUAUAUAAAAAAUUGGUCCUAAAUGUCCUCUGGCAUAAUCUGAGGCUUCAGAAAAAUCAUUAAAACCCUUAUAAAGAGGGGCUCUCAUGCCAUUUAUAUAAUCCAUUACUUCUAACCAUGUCUGAAAAAUUUCAUUUGUUUUGCCAUGUAUGACUACAUAAUAUUUAAACCCAGGCUUACUUUUGUCUGACAUAUACUGACAUAAUGCAUUCAUGGAUGCUAACAAAUGUUUAUUGUCUGAUUUAUUCAAAGCUAUCAUAGAUUGUCUACUAAGCAUUUUUGUGGUCUAUCCAAAACAUGUUCAGGUCUUGGUCUAAAAGAUGAAUUGCAAGAAGGAUAAGCUAUUAAAUUGUAUGGUCCAAAAUCUAUCCUUUCUAGUGUAUCUACUGAGUCUUGUGGUCUGAAUCUAAUAUUACCUAGCAUUUUUUGGUAGUACAAGUCUUGUGACGAGGAAGAAGAUGCUACUCCCUUGCCUUUGUCUGUAUUAGGUUGACCGGUUGGUCUCAUGCUUAAACAAAUAUAAAUUUAAUUUAAAACAGGUUUAGUUUUAGCUAUAAUCUACUUAAUUGGUCUGCUAAAUCAUUUUCUUUACCUUUUAUAUACUCAAAAAUAAUAUUUUUAUAGACUGAUAUGGUGUCAGUAGAGUUUAACCAUCUUCUUUUACUACUAGACUUGUCUUUAACUUGUUGACUAAACCCGACUACUAGCUUCACAGUCUGUCCUUACCAAAACUUCAUCUUUGUUUAAUAUAUUUAAUUUAAAACUGUUUAGGCCAUAUAUAAUGGCUAGUAGUUCUAAAUCUAUAGCACUCAUGUUUCCUUUUUCAUUGUAUAAGCCACUUUGAUAGGCGCAUAUUUGUUCUUCAUUUUUACUACUAUAUUUAUUAGGUCUUAUUUUUAAUACGGCUCCCCAUCCUAAUUUACUUCCGUCUAUCUGAACGAUUAAAUAAUCGGUUUCUAGUGGAAUUUUUAAGUCUGGAAUAUGUUUGACUCUUUCUUUAAUUUGUUGGACUAAUUUAAUGUCUUCAUUAUUAAAAUGUUUUUGACCUUUACUUCCAGUUUUAGCAUAUAAAGGUCCGGCUAUUUUACCUAAGUCCUGAAUGAAAUUUCUAGCGUAAUUUACUAAUCCUAGAAAUUUUUGUAAGUCUUUCGUAUUUUCUAAUUUGUCUGGCAUUUCUAAUACUUUCUUUGCUAUAUGUGGUUGGAGUUUAAUCUUUCCUUCUCCUAAGAUUACUCCUAGAAAAUUAAUAUAGGUUUUACAUAGUUCCAUUUUCUUUUUACUUAUUGUUAUUCCAUGUUUUACGAAUAACCUAAAGACUGUUUUUAAAUGUCCUAAAUGCUCCUGCAUAUUUUUACUAAAUACCAGAAUAUCAUCUACAUAGACUAAUACAAAUUUUUUAUAUUCCCCAAAAAAUAUUAUCCAUUUUUCUUUGAAAAAUGGGUGGAGCUAUCUUUAAACCAAAAGGCAUAACCAGCCAUUCAAAAUGUCCUCCUGAACAAGUGAAUGCUGUCCAUUCUACACUGUCCGGAUGUAUUUUUACCUGCCAAUAUCCUAAUUUACAAUCAAAUUUACUAUAUAUUCUUUUACCUUGGAUUCUAUUAAUUAAUUCACUUUUGUCUGAUAAUUUAUACGCAUCUGUUUUAGUAUUAUCAUUUAGUCUUUUGUAAUUUAUUAUCAUUCUUGCUUUUCCUCUUACCUAUUCUUUAUGAUUUCUUACCAUAAAUGUUGCCGACCUAUGUUUAGAAGUUGAUCUUCUUAUUACUUCUUGAGUUAAUAAUUCUUUAAUUUGUCUAUCAAAUUCUUCUGUAUCUUCAUUAUUAGCUUCUAUAGAUACUAUUUUUAUUGUAUAUUCUGUGUUACUGAUUUCUAAUUUACACGUUAUCUCAUUAGAAUUCCAAUGUGCUAAGGGUUUUUCUCCUAUUAUAUCUAUUUUAUCUAGAAUAUUUAUUACUUUAUCUAAAUCUUUAGGACUAUUUAUCAUGCCUAUUUUAUUUAUACCUUUUUGAAAAUUAUAAAACUGAGUUUCAACAUUUAUUAAUGUAUAGUGUUUUUCUAUUUCUUUUAUAUAUUCUAAUCCUUCUGCAUUAAUUAGUGUGUAAUUUUUUAAUUCUUCAAUGUUUUCCUUUAGCGUUUUAUUUUCUUUUAAUAGGUUACUAUUUUGGCAUUGAUUUUGACAUUUUUCAUUAUUUGAGCAGCCUUCACAACAUGGUUUAGAAACUAUUUCUUUUUUGUGUGUUCUUAGUGUUCUAUAUACUGUUGGUAAUUUUACUGUUUGUAUCGGAGUAUAUGUUAGAUUUUUAAAUAGUAUUAUUCCAUCUCUUGUUAAGAGACAUCCUCCUCUAUUUUGUAUGCAAAAAUACAAUCCUAUUACAAAGUUUGAACCUAUGUUUAAAUCUCUUGCUAAUAUUCUGUUAAUAUUGUAAGUUGACUUGUAGAAUUCAUUACAUGUGUUUAAGAAACUUAUUUGUGCAUUUUCUAUGUAAUAAUUAUAGAUAUUCUGCGAUCUGUCCAUUUGUGUAGUUGUUAUGGGUUUAUCAAAAGUCUUUAGUAAAUGUUUUGGUGCUAUUUCUUUAUUAAUUAUACAGAUGGUACAUCCUGGGUCUACUAGUGCUAGAGUUUCUAUCUCUAUAUUUUGGAUUCUAAUUUUCACUAAUACUUUUAUGGUAGAAAACUCUUUAUCUUCAUUACAUAUUAGGCUAGUGUCAUUAUCUUCUAUUGUCAUAAGUUCUGCUUCUAAAUUUUCUAAAUGUACAUUUUCUUGUGUAUCUUCUUGUAUAUUUAUUUCUUCUCUAGUUAUUUUAGCUUUUCCUUUUUCGAAGGUAGUUAGCCUUUGUUCUAGAUUAUUUACUCUGGCUUCUAGAGUUGCUACUCUUAAAUUUAGAAUUUGAUUAUUUGUGUAAUUUGGUUCUCUAUUUGGUUCUGAUUCUAUUUUUAUCUUUAGAGUGUUUUCUAUACAAUUUACACAGGCUUCUAAAUAACAUUUUCUACAUUUAGCUCUAUUUUCUUUGCUGGGGUACCAACUACAUAUACGACAUCUAUUACUGUGUAGACCUUUAUAUUUUUAAAAUUCAUGUACACAUUCUUGAGUGACAUUCAUUAAAUUAUUAAUUACUAGGUUAUUUAAAUCUAAAUCAUCUAGAUGAUCUAUUUCUUGUCCUAACUCAUUUACUAAAUUAUCUUCUUCUGAAUCCGAAGAGUUAGUUUUAGAAAUGUCUUCUACAUCAAAAAUUAUUAUUGAAUAUAUACUCUCUGUAUCUGACAUGUAUUCAUCUACAUUUAGUAAUGUUUCUUGAAAAUCUUCUAUUAAUUGAGAAUUUCUAGUUCUAUUGUUAUUUCUUUUAAGACAUACAUUGUCUAAAUGAUCUAUGCUUCCACAAGUAUAACAUUCUAAUUUGUUUUUAUAGUUUCCAUUAUUUCUAUAUUUUCUAACAUGUCUAUCUCUAUUUAGCCAUGGUUUUUUAGCUUUUGAUUUCUUAUGAAGUAUUGUUUACGACUAAAUGGUUUUUGGUUAUAUUUUUUCUUAUAUCUUUUAGAUUGUUUCUGAUUAUCAUAAUUUUGGGUUGUGUAUAUAAUUGAUUUAUAGAAAUUCAUUUCAUUUCUUUUUAGUUGUUUUUGUAUUUGUAUAUUCGUACAUUUUUUUGUUAGUAUAUCCAUUAUAUGUUGAGUUCUAUGUCCUAUGGUCCAUUUUACGUUUGGGCUAGCUACUACACCGUCUCUUUUAUACCAUCUUUCUUCUAUUUCUCUUCCUAAGGCUCCUGGUAGCUUAUUAAAUAGUUUUUUACCUAGUUCUUCAUUAAAAGUAUUUCCACUGACCGUGCAGUAAUAAAAAUAAUCUUGUAAAAUUUCUUGAUAUAUAUCCAAUGUGAGAUGCUAAGUUGUUCUAGUUUUAUUAAAACUUCUUUUUGUAAUGCUAAUAGUCCGCUAUUUGGAUCUUUUAUGGUUAGUAACAUAUGCAUUUUAUUUGUGAAGUUAUAGGGAUUGGACCCAUACUUAACAGAACCUGAAAGUCAUAUGGGCCGUUUGUUUUAAAACUUUCCCACGUAACUUUUGCCGAUUCUCCUAAAAAGGUUUCUAAGUAUUUGUACAUUGUUUUUGUAUCGGUUUCCGUAUAAUGUCUUAAAUAAUCUACUGCUACUAUUCCUUUCCGUAAAUCUAUUACUAUAUCCCACAUUUGUGGGUCAUGUGCUGCUAUAUUUAGUAUUUUACCUUUACUACCUCUUUCUUGUAGUUUAAUUGGUUCUUCUAUUGGCAUUCUCUUUCCUGGUCUUAUAUUAUCUCCUCUAAGUUCUGUAUCUGGAUUUAUCCUAACUGCUGGCCUCCUAGGUACAUUACCUGUACUAUAAUCUAUUGGUUGAGGAUUCGGGUUUGUCUGUUAGAAAGGGCUAGCACUUGUUGAACCAGUUGCUUCUAAUUCUGCUACUUCUUUAUAACUCAUUAUGGAACUUAGUAUGGAUUUUGUAUCAUCAUCUUUCUUUUCAGAAAUUAAUUUUUCGUUAUUUCUAUAUCCUAGGUUAUCACUUCUUUCUAAGCAGUUUUUGAAAUGUUCUAUACAUUCUUUUAUUUCCAUUUCAUUUUUCUGACAUCCUUUACAUUUAAAGGUUAUAUGUUUAUAUUCUUCUGCUAACAUUUGAGCUUUUUCUAUUACUAUAUCUACUUCGUAGACUUCUUGUAAAACUUCUAUAUUCAUAAAUUCUUGCUCUGUUUUUAUAGUACUUUCUGUUCCAGCGUCGUCUAAAUCUCUUCUAGUUGUAUAAUUAUAAUCUGUAAAUCUAACUGAAGUUUCUCCCUUACUUGUAGUAUAUAGUAAAUGAUAUUCUGGUGUAAGGAUUUUUGGUUUAUUAAAUUUGUUUAGAUUCUAUUCUAAACCUGCAUAUACCUCUGGGUCUAUUUUUAUUGGUUUUAUUAACCUUAUACCUUUACUUCCGAUGACUUCAACUACAUCAUUUACUUUUAAUUUAAAUUCAGUAUUACUACUUAAUGUUAAUUUUCCUAUAAAUCCUACACACAUUAAUAAAUUGUUACCACUAUUCAUUUCUUCAUACCCUUUGGUCUGAAUUCCUAUUUUAAUAUUUUUUUCAAAUUCUUUUAAGUUCAUUAGGAAAUCUGGACUUAUGUAGAAUAUUCCUCCAUUAUUUGUCAUAUCUACUUCAGUUAAUCCUAUUAUUGAUUUCUUAAUGUUUGACCAUCUGUCAUCGUAUAUUGUUAUUAGUACUUUAGAUCCUAGAUUUUUUCUAGUUAAUCCUUUUAUUCCUAUAAUAAUUAAUCCCAUAUGCAUUAGCAACAUUUUAUUUUUUUAUAUGUUUUAAAGAUUUAGAGUCUACUAAAUCUAAUAUUGUAAAAUUUUCUCCUAUAGCCGAUAUCAUUCUUCCCUAUAAUAUCUAUACAACUGAUUAUCUGUUGAAAAAUAUCUAGCAUUGUAUAAUGUCUUAGGGUUUAAUAGUUUUAACUGAUGUUGUUGAAAAAUUUGUAAGUCUUUAUCUAUAUCUAUUAUUUCAUUUAGUUCUUGAUUCUGUUAUGUAGUUGGUUGUCUUCUAAGUAUUCUAGAUACUAUAGUAUUAUUUCCUAUUCUAUUCUCAGAAAAACUUAUUCUUUGUCUUUCUUCUCCUUGUCUUUCGUUGUUUUCGAUGGUUCUCCGUCUAUUUGAUAGAAAAUCUAUUUUUGUGGUUUUCUAAUUAUAUUUCUUUUUUCUUGUCUAGAGGUUAGUUCAGUUCUUUUUAGUUGGUUAAUAAGUUCGUCUAUUUCAGUAUUUUUGGGUUCUUGAACCUCCUUACUUUUAAUUAAGAUAUCUAUCUUUUUAUGUAAGUCUAAUUAUAAUUCUAUUAUAGUAUUAUUUUGUUUUAACAAAAUUUUAUCUGUUAUACUUGAAGGUAUAUGCUUAGAUAAUCCUUCUGGUUCGCUAUGAUAGCUUUUUGGUUUUUCUAGUGCCUCACUAUAAUUUUUAUCUUCUUCACUCAUGAAAGUGAUAUUUCUUCUAAUCAUUGUAUUGUUAUUUUCAACUCUCUUAUUUCUUUAUUUAUUAACUCUACUUGCUCUACAAUUUUUGUUACUAGUUGAGUGGUUUUAAUUUCUAACUCUUUUGAUUUUUCUGCUAUAGUUUUUAUUAAUUUUUGUAUUUCUAUUUUUGUAGGUAUCUUUUCUAGAUUGGAUUUUUGAUUUAAAUACUGAAUUUUCCUGUCUAUUUCUAACUCUUGAGAUUUUAAAUAAUCUAAAUUUUCCUCUAUUUUUUCUAGUAUCUUUUUCUGUUUAUUUUGAGUAACUUCUACUUCUUCAAAAAUUCUUAUUAUAUUAUUAUCUUUUCCCUGAAUUUUCACUUAAAUUUAUUAUUAAAUCUAUUAUGGUAUUAUAUUGUUUAUCUUCUGAAUGUAAAAGGUGUUCUCCUUGGCUGAAAUUACACCUUAUAGUCGUAUUAUCUUUUAACACUCUGUAUUUCUUUACAGGUUGAAAUCUAAGAUCUAAAUAUUCAAGGCAUUUAAAUGAAGCUAUUUUGUUAUGCUAGAUGAUAAUAACUAAUUGUAUGUUUACUUAAUUUAUUAAAAUACCCUAAUCUAUUAUUAGAAUAUGUAAUAUCUAGUUCUACUUCUUCUAUAUUUUUUAUCAACCUUGUCUGUUCUCUAAUUAGUGAUUCUUUUAAUUUUUCUGAUGUUAUUUUAACUAUUUUAUCUAUUUCAGUAUCUAUAAGGACUAGAUUAUCAAUUUUUCUUAUUUCGUCUUUAAUCCAAAAUAAUGGUUCUUUAAAAUGCUUUAAUAAUUCUUUAAGCUGAUUUUUAUAAAUUAUUUCUUUGUAUAUCUGACGUCUGAUUUCUCUAAUAUGUAUAACGUAUUUAAGUGGCAUACCUUAUCCUAAUGGAAUUUUAUAUACUUGUUGUAAAUAGUAAUUUGUCCUAUAAUAAGAGUUUUCUAUUCUUAUGUUAUUGAAAUUUAAUUCUUCUUUAGAAAUUUUUAGCAGAGUUUUUAAAAUAUUUUAUAUCUACUUGUUCUAAAUUUUCUUGAGUUAUUUGACCUUGUAUUGUUUCUAUUUUUUCUUUUAAUAUUAUUUCCUUUUCUCUUAAUUUUGGAUCUAUGAUGAACUUCUUCUUCUAUCCACUUAUUUAAUCGUCUUACUCUUUGAAAAAUAGGUAGAUAUAUGCUUUUUUAUUAGGUAGAUCUUUCAUAUAUCAUCCUAAUUGAUAUGCUUUUUUAUUAAUUCGCUCCUUAAGCCACCGUAUUUUGUUAUUAUUAUUUUCUAAACCUCUAUCACAACCGUAUAAUUUCCAAUUUAAAGCACUUACUAGUUCUUCACUUACUUUUCUAGACGUAUUAUAAAGUUUAUAUAAUCUAUUUGCUUCUAUUAAUCUUUUUCUACUUUUUUCUAAAUUUAGUUUCCUAGUGAUGAUAAUAGCUCUUUUUUUAUAUUCUCUAUAUAAAUAGAAAUAACUACUCCUUAUAUCUUGGAAAACUUGAUGUCUUUUCAUACACCUGUCUAGAUUUAUAUUCUAGUGUUUUUUCUUCUAAGUUUAUAUGUGAGUAUUUAAUAAUGGUCAGGUUUACAAUUCCCAAAAAGUUAAUAAGCUCUGAUACCAAUAAUAUAGACACUUAGAUAAAAAGAUAUUUCAAUAAAAUAUAUUUUAGACCCUAAGAUAAAAAGAUAUUUCGAAAUAAUAUUUAUGUUUUUAGGUGAUUUUGUGCUGAUAAUUUAGAGGUUUUUAAAUAAAUAUGUUUUAAAUCCUACUCAAUACUCCCUCUUUCCUAUUGUUUCUUCGUGUUUUUAGUUCUUUUUAGCCUAUUUUUCCUCAUAUUUUAUUUAUUUUUUCUUUUUUUUAAUCUUACCCUGUUCAUCUCUUUCUCUUAGCCUAUGUUCUUAAUAACUUACUUCUUUAGCCACACUCCGAAACAUUCAUCUGGAAACUAACAACUGUAAUUUUUUUCUUUUUUAAAAGCUGAGAUUGUAAAUAUUUUUAUAUUAUUUUCAUGUUCGAGUGGAUAAAAAUUUUAGAAACUAUUUUCUUUAGGAAAAUAAAUUCUUUGAAAAUAAGAAAAAUGACUUUCUAAAUGAAAAGGAGAAAAUGAGUGACAUUAUCUGCUCGAAAUCCGUGAGCUACCACUCCUACCACACCUUCACCAAACUCCCACCUCCUACAUCCCCACUCAUCCUCAUAGUUUGUGUUAGAUAUAUAAAAUAUUUUUAGGAUAAUAUUUUUACUUGCAUAUCGAAUUUGAGAAAAUAAAUAACAACAACAACAACAAACCCAAUAUAUUCCCACUUAGUGGGAUCUGGGGAGGGUAAAAUGUACGUAGUCCAUACCACUACCCCCGAGAAAGUAGAGAGGUUGUUUCCGAUAGACCCCUGACUCAAGACAAAAGGACAAAGGACAAAGGACAAAGGACAAAAACAUCCAAAACAUCCAACAGGAAUAAAAAUAACACAACAAUAAAGUAUACAAACAGACAAUGGACCCCCCUCUCCCACCCCUAGACCUACCAACCAAGCUACACUGAACCCUCCUAACUACAGACUACGACUCAAGCACCCACAUUAGCCCUCCAUACUUUUCCUCCCUCCUAACUACGACCCCUCUCCCCCACCACUAAUGCUUUUCCUCCAUAUUUUCCUAACAAGGGUCAUGCCCACCCCUAUCCCCCACCCCGUAAACAUGCCCUCCAUCUUUACUAAAAUUUGGAAAUAACUCAUAUUGUUUUUGUAAAGCAGAAGGGAAAAAAAGAUUUCCAAGCAGAUAAUUGAAGGUAUAGAUGAGGGGAAAAAGGUGAUCACAUUCAAAGAAUUUGAAGGAGAUUUAGUGGAUAAAUAUGAUAACUGGAAGACAACUCUUCAUAUCGAGCAAAAAGGUGAAAUCGAUUUGGUAUGCUGGACAAUGGAGUAUGAAAGGCCAAAUGAGAAUGCUCCUGAACUAAUAAAUUUGCUUGACUUCAUUAUUGGUAUGACCAAAGCUAUUGAUGAUCACCAUGUUAAGAUGAAUUAUGGGAUAUAUGUAUGUGUCAUCAUGAGAUUUAUAUAAAUAAAUUUAGUUAAUGCUAGGUGUGUGCUUGGAAUACCUCAUGUUGUGUUGUUUCAGCAGAUGGUAUGAAAUAUUCCAUGUUGGAAGGUGUGGAGGAUGGGGAUUAGGUUAGAUGGUUAGGGGGUGGGAGGGUGUCGGUGAUAGCAGGGGAGUGUUCUAUAUUUGUGGCUAGCGUUGUUAGUUUAUUUUGUAUAUUGUACAAGUUUAUAUGCAUUCAUGUAUGUCUGUUAUAUUGUUAUUGAUUCUAAGAUGGGGGUCUAUCGAAAACAACCUCUCUACUUUACCUGAGAAUCUGAGAUAGUGAUAUGGACUGCGUACACUCUAUCCUCUCCAGACCCUACUAGGUAGGAAUACACUAGGUAUGUUGUUGUUGGAUGUUUAAGUUCUUUUUGGUUUUUACUUUUAGGGAUUGAUGUUUGUUGUGUCUUCCCAUGUAAACUGUCACGACCCGAACUAGGGCCUGGCUGUGACGGACAUCUCAAACCAUGAAGGCCCGAAAUGCCUUUCUCUAUCUGGUAAUCAUGCACAAUAUUCAUAUGAUAAAAGAAGAUGCGGAAACAUAAUCUUCUACGGAAGCAUAGUCAAUUCUGAAAUCAAUAUAAGUAUGGAAAGUAUAAAUCAACUACAUCUGAAUAAAAUUUGACUGAGUCAGCGAAAUCUCUACCACAUGAAAAUCUGACAACUGUCUGAAACUGGAACAAGGCCCCCAGUAGAUCAAAACGGAAAUAAGUGACAUAAUCUGAAAAGAGAGGCCUUCUGAAAUAGAGAAGGCUCACCAUUUGGACACUGCAACUCUGUUUGAUAAAAAUCUACUGCUUUUCUGGACCCCUAUACUGAGCCUCAGAACUUGGAGGGAGGAGGGGGGUCAAUACAAAUGUACUGGUACGCAAACAAAUCCAAAAUAAAGCUUUCAUAUAAAUAAAAUAGCUGGAGAGUAAUUUGUCAAAAUGUAAUACGUGAAAUAGUUCUAAAACACAUGGGAACUUUCUAAAAAUCAUAAAUCAUUCUUGUCAAUGCAAUAUCUGAUCUUUGUAUUACUUCUGAGUUAGGAGGCAUUCCCCUACAAGUCUGAUAUUCCAUGGGCUAUAUGAAAUUCAUCAUUGACUCGGCGGGGAAGCCCCCAGCCCGAGUAUGCUGUAAGGGUUGGAGUGUCUGAGUCUGAUACGCCACAAGGCUCUAGGCCAGCGUAAUAUAAUAAACCCAGAUCAACAAAUCACGAUUUUGGGCAAUGAGUUGUCUGAACCCAUGCCUUCUUCGAGGAACUACCUAAGCUCUCUUUGUGCCCAUUUUUAUCCUGUUUUGAAUCAUGCAUUUUUUCUAGUUUCAAUAUUUGAAAAGUUUGAUUUCAAACAUGCAUUCUAUUCUGUUCUGAAUUCUAUCAUGGUAUAAUCAGAAUAGGUGUCUUCACACCAAGACUUGCAAGUCCUAUUUCUGAGCCAUAUUGCAUCAUGCAUAAUUCUUUCAUUAAAACACAAUUCAGAAAGCCCAAACAUGCAAGCAGUAUAAAAGAUUUCAUGUUCCGAAAACACCAGUCAAAACUAUGCUGAGAUCAUUCAAACAUGUGGUGGUCAUGCAUUCUUUUGGCAAAUCAUGCUACUCUUUGUUAUAUGCAUAUUCAACAUUCAUCACAUGCAUAACCCUAUCCUUUUAUUUUCGAAAUCAUAGUCAAGUCAUAACAUAAGUCAAGACAUUUGAUAUCAUGCUUUCAAGAUGCAACUUAGAACAAUUCAUAGUAUAUCAUAAGUAAAUAAAAAUCAUCACAAGAGAGGGAUUUUUCAUGAAUGAUGCUCUCAAUUCAAUCAUCAAUCUUAAAACACAUGAUUAUAUAUAUAUAUAAUUUCAAAUCAAUUUGGGGAAGGCCUAAAGACCAAAACAAUAGCAUUAACGCUUCUAAAACAUGAAUAUAUUCAUAAAUCCAAAACCCUUUUCUUAAAGCAUGAUUUCUAUACCCAUGAGAUUUUAGGAAUACCCCACGUACCUUAACCUCGAAAGAUAAUAGGUAAUUCUUGAAUCUUGCGGAUUGGGGAUUCCAAAUCUUCACUCACUUUUGAAAACUCACGGUUGAAUCUUAAGUUAUUUGGGUUUCUAGUUUGAAACCCUUGGGAGUGUUCUUGCUGAUUUUUGGGAAAAAUAUCAAUGAUAUGGGUAUUUGGGAGCUUAAUCCCGUGUUAGAGGUGAUAAGGGAUUGGAGAAGUACCAUUUUACCCUUAAUAAGACGGAACAGGGUGCUGAAAAUUGGGCGGGUGCGAUACUCAGGGCGGUGCCUUGCCGAGAGCACCGGAGUACCCUAGGCGUCGCCCGCCUUAGAGCAGUGGGGUUGCCCGGGAGGCGCCUGCCUUAGAGUGAGGGAGAACCCCGAGCGGCGCCCCCUUAUCUCUUGGAGCUACUGGAAUGGAAUACCAAACAUGCCCUUAGGCUCAUCUAAAAAUUUUGAAACUCACUCGAGAUGUACUACGACCUUUCCCCAUUGCAACGCAACAAGAAAAUCUAAAAUCGGAGGUCGGGAGGAUUGAAAAUAAAAUCUCCGAUGAUUAAGAGCUAAAAAAUGAGACUAAGUCUUUUGACACUUAGAAUAUUUUCAAGUUUCCAAGGCAAAGAGUAUACUACUAAGGGCUAGCACGUGCACGCAUUUUUACGGGGCGUUAUAUUAUCCCCCCUUGGGAUCAUUCGUCCCCUAAUGAUGAUGCGGAAAUACAGCCAAGCACGAUUUUAAGCAUACUAAGAUAUAGAAGAAUAAGAAAAAGAUUCGUACCUUCCGUUUCAUCAUUCAACGGAUCAAAUAAGUUUGGGUAUCUAACUCGCAUGUCCUCUUUGGAUUCCCAAGGAGCCUCUUCAACUUUCUGAUUCCUCCAUAACACUUUAAUUGAGGCUAUCUCUCUUUUCCUUAAUUACCGAACUUGAUGAUCUAAGAUUUCUACUGGUUCUUCUUCAUAGGAUAAGGAGUCUGUCACUUUGAUUUCUUCAACAGGCAAUACUAAUGAAUGGUCCCCAAUACUCUUUUUCAACAUGGAUAUGUGAAAUACCGGGUGAACAGAACCCAAACUAGCAGGCAACUCUAACUCAUACGCAACUGCACCUAUUCUUCUCAAGAUUUGAUAGGGUCCUAUAUAGCGACGACUCAACUUACCUUUUUUCCCGAAUCGCAUGACUCCCUUUAUAGGAGACAUUUUUAGGAAUACCCAAUCUCCAACCUCAAACUCUAAAUCUCUUCAUCUAACAUCGGCGUAAGAUUUCUGACGACUCUGAGUUGUCUUAAGUCAUUCCCUAAUAAGUUUCACGUCUUCCAUCGCCUGAUGAACAAGAUCAGGCCCAAACCAUACCACCCUAUUGGAGACCUACAUCUUCUCCCAUACAAUGUCUGAAAUGGUGCCAUCUUAAUACUAGAAUGGAAACUGUUAUUAUAUACGAACUCUAUCAAUGACAAGUGCUCUACCCAACUACCUUUAAAAUUAAUCACACGGGCCCUCAACAUGUCCUCAAGGGUCUGAAUGGUGCUCUCAGCCAGCCCAUCAGUCGGAGGGUGAAAAGCAGUGCUUAGGUUCACUUGGGUACCUAAACUUUUCUGAAAAGAUCUCCAAAACUGAGAAGAAAACUGUGUACCUCGGUCGGAUAUGAUGGACAAAGGUGCCCCAUGCAACCGAACUAUUUCAGCAAUGAAUAGCUUAGCAUAAUCCUCUCCUGAAUAGUUAGUCUUGACAGGCAAAAGGUGGGCUGACUUGGUCAGCCUAUCUACAAUCACCCAAAUAGAAUCGUACUGGUUUCGGGACUUCGGGAGUCCUGUAAUGAAAUCCAUAUUAAUCAUCUCCCACUUUCAUAAGGGUAAAGUUAUCUCUUAGGAAGAACCGCGGCCUUAUAUGCUCUACUUUAACUUGUUGGCAGUUCAAACACUUGGAAACAAAGUCAACCACAUCACAUUUCAUAUUAUUCCACCAAUACAUAGGUUGCAGAUCAUGGUACACCUUAGUAGAGCCUGGGUGAACAACAUACCUCGAAGUGUG
rnacentral:lncRNA from 1 species